GAUGAACGCUGGCGGCGUGCCUAAUACAUGCAAGUCGAGCGAACAGACGAGGAGCUUGCUCCUUUGACGUUAGCGGCGGACGGGUGAGUAACACGUGGAUAACCUACCUAUAAGACUGGGAUAACUUCGGGAAACCGGAGCUAAUACCGGAUAAUAUAUUGAACCGCAUGGUUCAAUAGUGAAAGACGGUUUUGCUGUCACUUAUAGAUGGAUCCGCGCCGCAUUAGCUAGUUGGUAAGGUAACGGCUUACCAAGGCGACGAUGCGUAGCCGACCUGAGAGGGUGAUCGGCCACACUGGAACUGAGACACGGUCCAGACUCCUACGGGAGGCAGCAGUAGGGAAUCUUCCGCAAUGGGCGAAAGCCUGACGGAGCAACGCCGCGUGAGUGAUGAAGGUCUUCGGAUCGUAAAACUCUGUUAUUAGGGAAGAACAAAUGUGUAAGUAACUAUGCACGUCUUGACGGUACCUAAUCAGAAAGCCACGGCUAACUACGU
rnacentral:rRNA from 1 species